ensembl:lncRNA
AGCAUCAUCAUUUUCUCACAGCGUUACCAUGACUAUCACCAGCCUCCAUGUGUCUUUCCUACAGUACUGUGUAUGUGACUAAGUCGUCUCAAAUCAACACGUGACACUAUAGGCUAUAUCGGUCAUCAAGAUAAAAUCAGGAUACAUUUUCUUACCAUGACAACAGCGCUGUUCCAGAGAAGAGUCCGUCACCAUCACAACCAUCACAACCACAGCUACCAUGAGACUUCCCCAUGUUGGCUCUCAGCCGGGUCAUCACCCACGAGAGCUGCAAUUUGAUCAAUUGAGUUUGAGUCCAUCAGUAGCUGGAAAGUGAGGGAGAUCAGGAGCCAGGAAGACUGCCCGCGAAAGCGUGAAUGGACCAUUAUUAUGCACCUGUCAGAACAGGGGCGGGGGGAAAAGACAUGUCAUUCAUCUGCACUUCAAUAGACAACGGAGGACGAUGGAGGACGAUGGAGGGCGAUGGAGGACGAUGGAGGGCGAUGGAGGGCAAUGGAGGACGAUGGAGGGCAAUAGAGGAUGAUGGAAGGCGAUGAAGGGCACUGGAGGACGAUGGAGGGCAAUGGAGGACGAUGGAGGGCAAUGGAGGACGACGGAAGGCGAUGGAGGGCAAUGGAGGACGAUGGAGGGUGCUGAAAGGCACUGGAGGACGAUGGAUGGCGCUGGAGGACGAUGGAGGACGAUUGAGGACGAUGCAGGGCGAUGGAGGACGCUGGAGGGCGAUGGAGGACGAUGGAGGGCGAUGGAGGACUAUGGAGGGCGAUGGAGGGCGAUGGAGGACGAUGGAGGGCGAUGGAGGACGAUGGAGGGCGAUGGAGGGCGAUGGAGGGCGAUGGAGGACGAUGGAGGGCGAUGGAGGACGAUGGAGGGCGCUGGAGUACGAUGGAGUGCAAUGGAGGACGAUGGAGGGCAAUGGAGGAUGAUGGAGGGCGAUUGAGGAUGAUUGAGGACGAUGGAGGGCGAUGGAGGGCGAUGGAGGCACUGGAGGGCGAUGGAGGGCGAUGGAGGGCGAUGGAGGAUGAUGGAGGACGAUGGAGGACGAUGGAGGGCGAUUUAGGGAGCUGGAGGACGAUGGAGGGCGAUGGAGGAUGAUGGAGGGCGAUUGAGGACGAUGGAGGGUGAUGGAGGGCGCUGGAGGACGAUGGAGGGCGAUGGAGGGUGCUGGAGGACGAUGGAGGAUGAUGGGGGACGAUGGAGGACGAUGGGGGACGAUGGAGGACGAUGGGGGACGAUGGAGGACGAUGGAGGGCGAUGGAGGGCGAUGGAGGACGAUGGAGGGCGAUGGAGGACGAUGGAGGACGAUGGAGGAUGAUGGCGGGCGCUGGAGGACGAUGGAGUGCAAUGGAGGACGAUGGAGGGCGAUGGAGGACGAUGGAGGACGAUGGAGGGCGAUGGAGGACGAUGGAGGGCGCUGGAGGACGAUGGAGUGCAAUGGAGGAUGAUGGAGGGCAAUGGAGGAUGAUGGAGGGCGAUUGAAGACGAUGGAUGGCGAUGGAGGGCGAUGGAAGGCACUGGAGGACGAUGGAGGAUGAUAGAGGGCGAUUGAGGACGAUGGAGGAUGAUGGGGGACCAUGGGGGACGAUGGAGGACCAUGGGGGACGAUGGGGG